ACGAACGCUGGCGGCGUGCCUAAUACAUGCAAGUCGAGCGGAAUGAUGAAGAAGCUUGCUUCUUCUGAUUUUAGCGGCGGACGGGUGAGUAACACGUGGGCAACCUACCUUGUAGAUUGGGAUAACUCCGGGAAACCGGGGCUAAUACCGAAUAAUCCAUUUUGCUUCAUGGCGAGAUGUUGAAAGACGGUUUCGGCUGUCACUAUAAGAUGGGCCCGCGGCGCAUUAGCUAGUUGGUAGGGUAAUGGCCUACCAAGGCGACGAUGCGUAGCCGACCUGAGAGGGUGAUCGGCCACACUGGGACUGAGACACGGCCCAGACUCCUACGGGAGGCAGCAGUAGGGAAUCUUCCACAAUGGACGAAAGUCUGAUGGAGCAACGCCGCGUGAGUGAAGAAGGUUUUCGGAUCGUAAAACUCUGUUGUAAGGGAAGAACACGUACGAGAGUAACUGCUCGUACCUUGACGGUACCUUAUUAGAAAGCCACGGCUAACUACGCG
rnacentral:rRNA from 1 species